GUUAUAUAUGUGAGAACCUAAAAUUGGGAUUAAAGGAGUGGAUUAGUGCAUUAGACUAAUAGAACCAGAUUUUUUAUUUUAGUAUAAAUAUAGAUUUCUGAACAACCUGGUUCAUUAGCCUACUUCCACUAUCUCUCUAAAAUCUCAAGUUCUUCUAAGUUCUCCUCCUUCUCUCUACCAUUUCUCCUCACUGAGCCAUUGGAUCUCCGAUCAGGUGGCGCCCAAACGUCCGCAACAUAGAGGGCUUCGAAACUGACCGAUUCAUUUUGGGUUCUAGGCUGGGUUUGGUUGAGUUCUUGCUGUGAAAGGUACGGUUGAGGUGUUCUUGGGAGCUGGUCAGUUUGUACUUGAGAGGUAGAUGAGGUACCCCUGGAGCAGGCCCUGGAUAGUGAUGAUGUUG
rnacentral:sRNA from 1 species